GCCUGCCUAGCUCAAUCGGCCAGAGCGUCAGACUUUUAUCCGCUCCGCGGUGACGGGCAUCUGAAGGCUGCGAGUUCGACCCUCGCGGUGGGCU